rnacentral:rRNA from 1 species
GGGUUGUGAGGUUAAGCGACCAAGCGUACACGGUGGAUGCCCUGGCAGUCAGAGGCGAUGAAGGACGUGCUAAUCUGCGAAAAGCGCCGGUAAGGUGAUAUGAACCGUUAUAACCGGCGAUGUCCGAAUGGGGAAACCCAGUGUGACUCGUCACACUAUCAUUAACUGAAUCCAUAGGUUAAUGAGGCGAACCGGGGGAACUGAAACAUCUAAGUACCCCGAGGAAAAGAAAUCAACCGAGAUUCCCCCAGUAGCGGCGAGCGAACGGGGAGGAGCCCAGAGCCUGAAUCAGCAUGUGUGUUAGUGGAAGCGUCUGGAAAGGCGCGCGAUACAGGGUGAGAGCCCCGUACACAAAAGCGCAUAUGCUGUGAGCU